rnacentral:rRNA from 1 species
CCUACGGGUGGCUGCAGUCGAGAAUCUUCCGCAAUGGACGAAAGUCUGACGGAGCGACGCCGCGUGCGGGAUGAAGGCCCUUGGGUUGUAAACCGCUUUCGGAGGGGAUGAAAUCUUCGAGGGUUCUCCCUCGAAGUUGACAGAGCCUCAAAAGAAGCACGGGCUAAGUACGUGCCAGCAGCCGCGGUAACACGUACUGUGCGAACGUUAUUCGGAAUCACUGGGCUUAAAGGGUGCGUAGGCGGCAAUCCAAGUCAGAUGUGAAAUGCCUGAGC